rnacentral:lncRNA from 9 species
ACUGAUUGCUGGGCUCGUGGAUCUCAGUUUAAGGCCAAAGGGCAGCAGGUGAGGGAGCCUUUAGAGUCUCCUUCCGGUUGCCCGUCCCACUCGGCCGAGCCCAGACCUGCACCUCCUCUUUCAGCUCUGCCAUCCCAUGAAUUUUCUCAUCACCUCAGUGAGAUGAAAGGGCUGAGCCUGCCAGAGUCAAGGCACUUUAUCCAGACCACAAAACCCAGCUCUGCAUCUGGUUGCAAAAUUUCCAGCUCUGGCUUCACAAGUGAUAGUGGCCUGGUGAAGACUCCUGCCUCAGCAGGUGGUCCGACCCCACCGAACCUGCCAAGCUUUCUUACCACUGUGACACCCGACCAGUCUGCAAAUCCACAUUCAGUGCUGAAGGGACCCCUGUUUCCUCUGGAGGCAUCUUGGCCCAAAGAGUCCCAGGUGCCCUGAAAACAACCCCAAAUGUCCGGAUUCUUCCUGGGGCAUCCCCCAAAAGCAUCAUCAACCCCAUGUCUGAGCCUGGAGCCUGAAGCCUUGGAGCUGCACAUGGGACCAGAAGGUACAUUUGGCACCCUAAUAGCAACCCUCAGGCCUUCCAUCCUCCUGUCUGGCUGAGCUCUCCUGGGGGCUGCACUGGCCUUGGGCUGGCCUGUGGAUUUGACUUUAUAUUUCCUCCCUCUCUAAGUGCCAUGAAGUGCCCCAAGAAGUGCAGUAUUUCUCUAUCAAAACCUUUCAGGCCGCUCAGCCUAACUUACCCAAGUUGAUACUGUGAAUACCCUCUACUGACCCACCCAGUGAGCCAUGGAAGCCUUGUUACUUUCUUCAUAUAGUAAUUACCUGAAAUAAUUAGCUGUGGUGUACGGAUUUAUGGAUUAUUUCCAUCUUUAUAUAUUUACUAUGUAUUUUUUUGUAUCCCCCUGUGCAUACAUAUAUAAUGUGGCCAGGAAUUCAAUCCAUGCUGCAGUUUUUAUUACCCCAGGCUCGUACUUAAAACCCUCUGCCACCACAAGUAUAAUGUCAGGAUAGCCUUUUGAAUUGCUUUAUCUAUCAAUUCACUAGCUACUAUAUAGAAAUGCAUUAUGUAUUUUUAGACUUCUUCAUCAAUUGAUCUCCUUCUUUUGACUAGAUACUUUUAUUUAUUCAUUUAUUUGGGUGCCACCUGUGACACUGGGGAGUUGUCUUGCCAGGUUUUGAUUUCCCAACACAGCUCUUACCACAGCCCCAGCAGCGACAGAGACAGACUCAAGCCAGGUGGCCACAAGGGAACUCAACAAGUGCUUUCUUGAUAUCAAUCAGCCCUGCAUAAUUCAUCAGCCCUGGUUUUGGUCAUGUGUCCAUACCCUGGAGCGGGACUUAACAGAGAGUCUUGUAUGGAAAGUCAAGAAGGUAAUUUCACUAGGUCUCUUGAUCAAAAAAAGCACCAGGAUUAGCACAGCUGCCCACUAAAAUGUCACCAAAUUCCACCCUCCAUACAUCAGGACCAGCCUCUAUCCAGAUACCUAAACGCUGGACAGUCAGGGGCUUGAAAAUGGCCAGCUCAGGAUUCAAAACAGAUGUUGUGUGGGUCCCGGCUCCUGCCUCUGGAGGGACACAAGCCAAUCGGAAACCCAGUGAAACCCUCAAGCAUUCUAAAUGCUCUGCCACCUGAUCAGGCUGCAAAUCCACACCCAGUGCUGAAGGGGCACUGGUUUCCUCUUCUGGCAAGAGGCAUCUUUGUGCAGAGAGUCACCAGAGCCUGGAGAACAAUACCAAACCUCUGGAUAUUUGCUGGGGUUUGAGCAAACCCACCAACAACUCCACCUCUGAGCCUGGAUAGGUGAGCGCCUUGGAGCUGCACAGGGUCCAGAAGGUACUCUGGUGCCAUCUUGUGGACAUCUGCUCUAACAGCAACUCUCAGGAUUUCCGCCCUUCUCUGCAUUGCCCUUGGGCAAUAUGCCCGUUGGUUUUCCUUCCCCUCUUUCUUUAAAUACCGAGAACUGCUCCAC